rnacentral:lncRNA from 1 species
AAACACUGAUGCCUUUCAGCUCGUGUGCAAACCACAAGCUUCUCCUGACAGGUGCGUCCAUGUCUGUCUGCACCUGGAUGGCAUCGCCUCUCCAUCUCGAGGACGCCAUCUGGAGGGGGCAGGGCAGGGUGGCUGAUCCCCUGCAGGCCCCAGCCCUGUGACUCAGCCACCAAAGCCCAAUCUCCAGCCCAAGGGAACCAAGGGUAUCUUCUUCAUCAUCCUUCCAGUCCUCUUCCCCUUCGCCGGGCUCCAGCCUCAGCUUGGCCCUCACCUCCACUCCUCUCCCCUCUCACCCCUGCCCCCAUUCCACUUCAUCUCCCUCCCUCACCUUAGGGCACCUCUGCCUGCUCCUUAUGCUGGAGUUGAUUUUCUACAAUCUCAACUCAGCCAAGAGAUCUCAUCACCUAAAAAAGUGAUGUGAACCUUAAGAUCACAUAUGUCAUAUGGGGGUGAAGGUGGGGGUGGGAGGCACUAAGGGCAGGGCAGCAGGUGGGUCAGCCCCAGGUGCUGGCAAUAGAUGGGGGUCCAGGUCAGCAGAGAACCUAAAAACAAUAAAGCAACUGAUUAGCCCGUC